rnacentral:rRNA from 1 species
UUCGAUUGUGCCAGCAGCCGCGGUAAUACGGAGGGUGCAAGCGUUAAUCGGAAUUACUGGGCGUAAAGCGCACGCAGGCGGUUUGUUAAGUCAGAUGUGAAAUCCCCGGGCUCAACCUGGGAACUGCAUUUGAAACUGGCAAGCUAGAGUCUCGUAGAGGAUGGUAGAAUUCCAGGUGUAGCGGUGAAAUGCGUAGAGAUCUGGAGGAAUACCGAUGGCGAAGGCAGCCAUCUGGCCUAAUACUGACGCUGAGGUACGAAAGCAUGGGGAGCAAACAGGAUUAGAUACCCUGGUAGUCCACGCUGUAAACGAUGUCGACUUGGAGGUUGUGCCCUUGAGGCGUGGCUUCCGGAGCUAACGCGUUAAGUCGACCGCCUGGGGAGU